GUGCUUGCUUCAGCGGCACAUAUACUAAAAUUGGAACAAUACAGAGAAGAUCAGCAUGGUCCUUGCACAUGGAUGACAUGCAAAUCCAUGAAGAUUAAAAUAAAAAA